rnacentral:rRNA from 1 species
AGUGAACGCUGGCGGCGUGCUUAACACAUGCAAGUCGAACGAGAACGGAAUAUAGCUUGCUAUAUUUGUCAGCUAAGUGGCGCACGGGUGAGUAAUGUAUAGAUAACCUGCCCUUAAGAAAGGAAUAACAGUUGGAAACGACUGCUAAUGCCCUAUAUGCCUUUAAUACAUAAGUAUGCAAGGGAAACGAUUUAGUGCUUAAGGAUGGGUCUGCAUGGUAUCAGCUUGGUGGUGAGGUAAUGGCUCACCAAGGCUAUGACGCCUAACUGGUUUGAGAGGAUGAUCAGUCACACUGGAACUGAGACACGGUCCAGACUCCUACGGGAGGCAGCAGUGGGGAAUAUUGCACAAUGGACGAAAGUCUGAUGCAGCAACGCCGCGUGGAGGAUGACACAUUUCGGUGCGUAAACUCCUUUUAUAUAGGAAGAUAAUGACGGUACUAUAUGAAUAAGCACCGGCUAACUCCGUGCCAGCCGCCGCCGUAAUAC